AUGGAGAAUCAGAUUCGCUCUCCUGACCUGGGACCUCUCUCUGACCCCCUUCUGGUCUGCCAGGGCCUGGGUCUCCCAGCAGGGACGCAGCUCAAUGGCUCCCUGCGAGCCACAGGUGGAGAAGCAGCGGUGUCCGGGGCCCUCGCAUCGCCCGGCCAGACCGCGUCCCUGACCUUGGUGGCGGCCGUGCACCCAUCGGAGGCCACACUCCGAGUGAGGCUGAGUCACACGCUGCCCACGCUGCGGGCCAUCCCCCCAGAGGCCUUGCUGAGCGUCCAGCUUGGGUGGGCGGCCGGGCACCGGCUGGGUCUGGAGCUGCAGGCGGAGGCCUGUGAGCUGCAGGGCGGUGGCGAGCUGCGCCUAGACCACGGGCUGCACUGGUGGGUGCUGGCUGAGAGCUCCUGCGAGGCCCUGCAGGCCCUGGGGGUCCCGGGCCGAGUCAACAGCUCCGGGGCCGUCGCCGUGAACUCCAUGGCUGUGGACGCCCGGGUGCUAGUCGCCGUGAACCACAGCUCGCUGCGAGGACUGCUCACCCUCAAGGCUACUGAGACCCAGCGGGAGGUGGCUAUGUUGCUGGUACACAGCUUCCCCCAGCCCAGCCCCUUGGGCCUCCCAGCCCGUGUCCUUCUGGAUCUGGCCACCGAGAGCCACGGGCCGGGCUACAGACGCACCCUGCGGGUCCAAGUCGACGACAAACAGGUGUGGUGCUCAGCAGGCCGGGCCUCUGGGAACUGGGUGGGGGGGGGCGGGGGGUUGUGGGGGUCCUGGGGACAACCCAGCCCAAGGCCCAGGUCUCACAGUCGUCCCCGUGGGCAGGUCUCGGAGGAGUUGACGUUCACUCGGCAGCCAGAGCACGUCUCCCUGUCCUACACGCUCUGGCACAACGUCCCCGUGCUGCGGACUCUGUGGCGGGCGGACAAGCUGGGCCUGCAGGUCAGCCUCGGCGAGCGCCGGUGAUCAUGGAAACUCGUGCGUGCGUUUGUGCUUUCGUGCAUUCACUCAACAAACGUUCUCGGAAGUCAGGUGGAUACAAAGGGGAGGUGGAACAAGGUUCCAGACUUCCCUCUGAGCCUCAGUCUCCUCAUCUCGAUAGUAGGGAGAGGGCUCCUCUCCCUAGCCUAGCCACGUGCCCCUGGGUUCACAGCCUCCCUGUGGACCGAGUGCGUGUGCUUGACCCCACUUUUUAGCCUUAUCCACCUGCUCUCAGCCUGGGCAUUCUGCGCCAGUGUCUCUCUCUGCUGCACGGAAGCUCCCCCCUUUCUUCUUCUUUAGGCCCCACACGCACAGGUCUGUAUACUUGUGUCUCUCCCCUUGGAGGCGGAUGGGCUCCUGGCUGGCCCAGCCUGGCCGCAGACGCGGAUGGUGUGUCCUCCCAGAUGUGCCCGGAGCCCGACCCCUUGUUCCCCACCUCCAGCUGUGUCCUCUGCUCCAGGCCAUCUCGGGUCACACCCAGGUUCCAGCCACCUAGCUGGGCUCCCGCCUUCACUGCUGCCCCCUCGGGUCUCCACCCAGAGUCGAGCCCCUCCACGUCCAGCCUGGCCCCAGAAACCUCGUGCAGGCAUCUGGUGCUGUGCCCUCUCUGAGCUCACCUGCCGGGGGCUCCCCGCUUGCUGACUUCCCUCGGGCUCGCUGGCCCCUGUACUCAGGCUCGCCAGAUGUUUCUUCCCUUCGAUGCCCACCGCCCGCUCCUGGCCUCCCCAGGUCUUUGCACACAUGUCCCCUCUCUGGCCUUCCCUGAAGAUCCCUGCCCUGGCCCGUGUCUCCCCCACCCGAACCCUCUGUAAAGAAGAUGGCUUUGCUUCUCGUCUGCCACUCAGAGCACACAUGGGUCCAGACGGCUGGGGACUCCCCCACCCAUGACCCAUUUGCUAGUGCCCCCUUCCCUGCCCGCGGAUGUGUUCAGCCCUGAGCCCUACUUGAGGGAUUUUCACGGGCAUUCAUCCGGUGAGUGUGCUGGAUCCUCACUCGCCCCGCAGCCUCUCCUCCGCUCCCUGAGGACAGGGACCGGGGGCUGAAGUUUCCAGCUUCUCACCAGGGCUUGGUCUUUCUGGGGAACCCACCGAGAGUCCCCUCAGUAGAACAGAAAGCACUGGUCUCACCCACGAAAUUCCAAGGGAUUGAGGAGCUCCAGUAAGACGCUCCCCUCUCCCACUCACUGGGGAGCUUUCAAGGGCGGGAGCUCUGGGUCAGGGACGGGGAUCACAGACCAGAUGUGGGCAGGACCCGGGGACAAAGGCAUAGAUAGCUAUGCCUGUGUAUUUCUUACUAUCUCACAUGCUCCCCGAUUGCUUUCUCUUUUCCAUCCUCUUUCCGUCUGGCCCGCGAUGGCUUCUACCUUGUCCUGGUCUGUCUCCCACAGCUGGCCUCCAGGCUGCACGGCCCCAGCAAUCCCGUGUGUGGUGCACGACGCAUCUCUAGGUGCAGGACAGGGCCCGGCACUUAGUAGGCGCUCAGCCAGCAUCACCGAAGAGCAGGACGGCACUUCCUGCUUUGUAGAGCCACUGACGCCACGCAGCGAGGGGCUUUAUGCCCCUGCUGGUCGCUGCUGCUCCAAUGGGGGGCAGAGGCCACAAACUCAAAGUCUUUGGGGGCCAGGUAGAGAGCUGAAAAUGGGUCAGGGGGCUGCUUGGGGACAUAGAGAGCUCGUGCCUGUUGAAAA
ensembl:lincRNA